CUGUUCUGGGAAUGUUAUUUUUUAGGGUACAGGGAGGUUCUGAGAAUGUUUCAUUUUGGAACCCUGAAAGUUUUCCUGGGAGGUUUUAUUAACAUUUUGAGAACAAAAAUGAUAGGCUAUUUGGAGGUAAUUAAAUAACAUUCUGAGAACAUGUUUCAAUAACACUGUUGGCCUAGUUUGGGUUAACUGUUUUGAACACAUGGAAAUGAAUUUGUUUAGGAAUUUUUAUUGUUAUAGCAAGGCAUCGUUGAGAUUCAAAACUAUGAUCUUCUGUUUUCUAUCUAUGGAAUUAGUCCACUGCGCCACCAGGAUGUACAAACAGGCCCAAUUUCAAAGGGAACAAGCGCUCAUUAAGAUUAGGUGUCGAUAGAAAGAGUUUUGUUGACGUUGAGGACGGAAUGUUUUUAAAUUUAAAAGAUGUAUUGUGGUUUUUAUGUAAAGUUUUCUUAAAGUUCUGAGAACAUGACUUUAAAUAGAACCAUGAGGAAUACCUGCAGAAAACAUUAUGUUGAAGUACUGAAAUUCCCACAGAAGAAUGUUGUUUCUUAACAUUCUCUGAAUGUUCUGAGAACUUGAGUUUAAUAGAACAGCGAGGAAACCUGUAGAAACCGAAAUGAAAUUCCCACCUAAGAAACAUACGGUUCUCAAAACGUAAUGUGACAUCUGGGUAUCCUGCAACGUUCCCAGAAUGUUGUGGGAAGGUUGUAUUCAAAAUAACCAUAGGACAACCACACUCUCACCAAGCUCUAAGAAACAUAUGAUUCUCAGAAUGUUAUGUGCUGGCUGUUUCUCAAGUAAUUAGCCAACAGUCACCUUCAGUUUACACAUUUACACAAAACUUCCUCUAAUUCCUUUUUUUUUCAAUCAUCAUCAUUGUUAAGUAACAGGAAAUAUACAUGCAAUACUUUUGACACCACUCUCGUUAUAACUGCUUGUCACUCAUUUUAUUGGAACCAGUUGGCUUUUAAAAUGUGUGCCGGUGCCAUGGUCACUGCUGGUGUUUUCCUUGGACCUGUAGCCUCCUGUUUUGGCACCUCUUUUCACAACACAAUGAGCCCAUUGAUAUGGAUUGAGAUGAUGCUCAUUUUGUCUCAGGCCUCUGGCACUAGUGGUAUGUGAUUCAUUUUUAUGUCAAUAUGCACUCAGUGUUUUUUUUAUGCUAUGUCUAAACAACAUGAACUGAAUAAUCCU
ensembl:lncRNA